rnacentral:rRNA from 1 species
AGCGAACGCUGGCGGCAGGCCUAACACAUGCAAGUCGAACGGAUCCUUCGGGAUUAGUGGCGGACGGGUGAGUAACACGUGGGAACGUGCCCUUUGGUUCGGAACAACUCAGGGAAACUUGAGCUAAUACCGGAUGUGCCCUUCGGGGGAAAGAUUUAUCGCCAUUGGAGCGGCCCGCGUCUGAUUAGCUAGUUGGUGAGGUAAAGGCUCACCAAGGCGACGAUCAGUAGCUGGUCUGAGAGGAUGAUCCACAUUGGGACUGAGGCACGGCCCAAACUCCUACGGGAGGCAGCAGUGGGGAAUCUUGCGCAAUGGGCGAAAGCCUGACGCAGCCAUGCCGCGUGAAUGAUGAAGGUCUUAGGAUUGUAAAAUUCUUUCACCGGGGACGAUAAUGACGGUACCCGGAGAAGAAGCCCCGGCUAACUUCGUGCCAGCCGCCGCCGUAAUAC